rnacentral:rRNA from 1 species
GAUGAACGCUGGCGGCGUGCUUAACACAUGCAAGUCGAACGGGAAUUAUUUUAUUGACACUUCGGUCGAUUUAAUUUAAUUCUAGUGGCGGACGGGUGAGUAACGCGUGGGUAACCUGCCUUAUACAGGGGGAUAACAGUCAGAAAUGGCUGCUAAUACCGCAUAAGCGCACAGAGCUGCAUGGCUCAGUGUGAAAAACUCCGGUGGUAUAAGAUGGACCCGCGUUGGAUUAGCUGGUUGGUGGGGUAACGGCCCACCAAGGCGACGAUCCAUAGCCGGCCUGAGAGGGUGAACGGCCACAAUGGGACUGAGACGCAGCCCAGACUCCUACGGGAGGCAGCAGUGGGGAAUAUUGCACAAUGGGGGAAACCCUGAUGCAGCGACGCCGCGUGAAGGAAGAAGUAUCUCGGUAUGUAAACUUCUAUCAGCAGGGAAGAUAGUGACGGUACCUGACUAAGAAGCCCCGGCUAACUACGUG